rnacentral:RNase_P_RNA from 20 species
GAAGUUGACUAAAAACAGUCGCUGUUUAGUUUUUAAAAAUUAAAAAGAGGAAAGUCCGGGCUCCAUAGAGCAGGGUGCCAGAUAACAUCUGGAAAGCGUGAGCUUAUGACUAGUGCAACAGAAAAUAAACCACCUAUUUUGUAAUAUAUAAAAAUAUGGCCAGGGUGAAAAGGCGUGGUAAGAGCACACCGCAUAAUUGGUAACAAUUCAUGGCAUGGUAAACUCCACCCGGAGCAAAGCCAAAUAUAGGAUAAAUUUUUUGUACUGCUCGUACUUCUUAAACCUGGGUAGGCUGCUUGAAUUAGUAAGUGAUUGCUAAUCUAGAUGAAUGACUGUUAAAACAGAACCCGGCUUACACGAGUCAACUUCAAUA